AGAAAAAAUACAACAACAAAUCGAUGGAAGUUUGUUCUGCAUGGCAAUUUAGUAAUUUUUGCCGCACACCUGCCACCUAUUAGUGAGAAGUGAAGAUGAUUACAAAAAUAAAUCAUAUAUUGAGUCUGCGCUCCACUUCUCACUUAUAUUUUAUGACGACUCUUUAAUUUAGAGGAGGGAGACAAUUGAUUAUUUGCCAAAAAGAAAUAAAGGAAAUUAUUAUUACUGGUGCGGACGGUGAAUUGUU
rnacentral:sRNA from 1 species